UACGGAGGGUGCAAGCGUUAUCCGGAUUCACUGGGUUUAAAGGGUGCGUAGGUGGGCUAGUAAGUCAGUGGUGAAAUCUCCGGGCUUAACCCGGAAACUGCCAUUGAUACUAUUAGUCUUGAAUAUCAUGGAGGUGAGCGGAAUAUGUCAUGUAGCGGUGAAAUGCUUAGAUAUGACAUAGAACACCAAUUGCGAAGGCAGCUCGCUACGCGGUUAUUGACACUGAGGCACGAAAGCGUGGGGAUCAAACAGG
rnacentral:rRNA from 1 species